UUUUGACAUUUCACGAGUAAAAACUCGAGCCGUGAUAAUACACGGUUACUGCUUCCACACUAAAAACUCUGUUGCACUUGUAAUAAGAUCGUGUCACUUUUUUAAAAAACAAUCACGAUCGCAACUUGAUUUACAAUUUCUUGCGGUCUCUUUGAAUACGUUUCCCCUGGAAACCGCUUAUUGCGUAAUGUUUACAUACAUAUGUAAUACGACAUUUUCUACAUUAUUGCUUCACAUCUUUUUGUUCACAUACGAAGUAUCCAAUAUUUCAAACACAAAGAAACGAUAUUUCGAAAACAAAACAAGUUUAAGUAGACUUCGACAUCAUUCAUCUUAUUAUUUUCUAUUUAUAAUGACAAUAAAUUGCAUUCGUUAUCUUCGUGCUACGACUGAUACGUUCUAGGGAAGUAUUUUUCUAAUCUUGGCAGGACAAAUUUAAACCUGGAAUUCAGAAACUUGUUCAAAGAUGUUUAUUUUAUAUAAUUAUUGCUCAAUGAUUUAUAGGCAUCAAUAGCUUUUAUCAUCAUUUAUGUUCAAGGGAUACUUUAUUUCAUUUGAUAAACUUGAAAAACUCUGGUUUAUUUGAUCACACAAUUGGUAGCUAUCACCAGCUAUCAAUGACAGCUGAUUGUUAUUGUAUUUAUGUUUAUAAUUAAAAGUAAAAAUGCCGAAAGUAGUCUCAAGAAGUAUAAUAUGUUCGGAUACUAAAGAUCAAGAAGAAUACAGUGAAGAGAAACCAUUGCACAUUUAUUAUUGCUUAUGUGGGCAAAUGACAUUAAUUUUAGAUUGUGCUAUAGAAAAGUUACCUUUAAGAAAAAGAGAUGGUGCACGUGUUAUUGAUGGUAGUAAACACGCUCACAAAAUGACCUGCGAGCAAGAUGAAGUUGUAUAUUUGAAACGUACUGAAGGCAUAGAAAAGCAAUAUCGUCAAAAAUGCAAAAAAUGUAUCAAUUAUAAUUUGUACAUGUAUCUCCACAGAUGUGGCUUGUUUCUCUAUUACAAACAUGAUCAAGGAACAAAUGUUGUAUUUAUUGUAAAAGGUGCUGUGAUUAAAAGUUCUGGAGAAGGUCCAAUGACAGAUAUAUAUAAUCAAGUAGCUAUCGAAAAACCCAAGAAAAUAAUGGUUACAAAACAUACUAAAAAUAUGGGAAAAUUCAGUUCUGUUACUGUCUCUACAAUUGAUGAAGAGGAAGAUGAAAUUGAAGCGAGAGAAGUUGCCGACUCGUAUGCUAAUAAUGCUCGAAUAAUAGAGAAACAAUUAGAGAGGAAAGGAAUGAACAAACGGAAAGCUAUGCCUCCUCCUGAAGCAGAUCCUAAAAGAGCAAGACCUCGAGGCACGUUGUUAGAUGUAUAAUUAAUUAUAUUAUUGUCAUACAUUUAAUCUGAAUAUGAAUGUAUACAAAAGCAUUUCUGAAAAAAACGCUGGAGGAUAAACAGAGUUCUACUUACAAGUAUUAAUUGGUAUGAUGGCAACAUUAAAUGGUAAGAAAAAGUUACUUUACAUAUACUGCAAUUAAUCAAAUUAGUAUAUAAUUCUACAAGACAAUUACAGAUGAUAUGGCUCUUUAAUGUGGAAGAAAGAAAGGUCUGUCUAUCUAAAUGUAUUGUAUAACUGGCCAUGUUACAUCUACAAUCUAUAAAUAUGCAGUAUGUAAUACUAUGACAUUAAUGCGCACAUUGGUUGAGAAUUGGGUGGGAUAUUAAGCUAGCUGCGUUUGUGAUUGUGAUAUUUGUUUAAACACAUUCUAACUGUGUAAUAGUUUAAUUGAAUGCAAUCAAUACUUAAAACGUCUCUAAAGAUUCCCACUCUGCCAGAUAAUUGAAAGGAUCAUAUAACUAAAGAAACGACUUUUAAUUUGAAACUUG